GGAGGCAGCAGUGAGGAAUAUUGGUCAAUGGACGAGAGUCUGAACCAGCCAAGUAGCGUGAAGGAUGACUGCCUAUGGGUUGUAAACUUCUUUUAUACGGGAAUAAGUGAGGCACGUGUGCCUUUUUGUAUGUACCGUAUGAAUAAGGAUCGGCUAACUCCGUGCCAGCAGCCGCGGUAAUACGGAGGAUCCGAGCGUUAUCCGGAUUUAUUGGGUUUAAAGGGAGCGUAGGCGGACGCUUAAGUCAGUUGUGAAAGUUUGCGGCUCAACCGUAAAAUUGCAGUUGAUACUGGGUGUCUUGAGUACAGUAGAGGCAGGCGGAAUUCGUGGUGUAGCGGUGAAAUGCUUAGAUAUCACGAAGAACUCUGAUUGCGAAGGCAGCCUGCUGGACUGUAACUGACGCUGAUGCUCGAAAGUGUGGGUA
rnacentral:rRNA from 1 species